GGGCAUUUGGUCUAGUGGUAUGAUUUUUGCUUUGGGUGCGAGAGGUCCCGAGUUCGAUUCUCGUAAUGCCCC
rnacentral:tRNA from 1 species